UCCGGUCAUGUCACGUUGAAAGACCAAUUCCCGUACGAUCACCGAAGUUAAACAACGUCCAGCCUGGUCAGUACCUAGCUGGGUGACCGCUUGGGAAAAACAGGUACUGUAAG